rnacentral:rRNA from 1 species
UACGAAGGGGGGCAAGCGUUGUUCGGAAUUACUGGGCGUAAAGGGCGCGUAGGCGGCUCUGUAAGUCAGGCGUGAAAGCCCUGGGCUCAACCUGGGAGUGGCGCUUGAUACUGUGGGGCUAGAGAGCGGGAGAGGAUGGUGGAAUUCCCAGUGUAGAGGUGAAAUUCGUAGAUAUUCGCAAGAACACCAGUGGCGAAGGCGGACUCACUGGCCCGGUACGUCGGACGCUGA